GAGUUUGAUCGUGGCUCAGAUUGAACGCUGGCGGCAUGCCUUACACAUGCAAGUCGAACGGCAGCACGGGAGCUUGCUCCUGGUGGCGAGUGGCGAACGGGUGAGUAAUGCAUCGGAACGUAUCCUGGAGUGGGGGGAUAACGUAGCGAAAGUUACGCUAAUACCGCAUAUUCUGUGAGCAGGAAGCGGGGGACCUUCGGGCCUCGCGCUCUUGGAGCGGCCGAUGUCGGA
rnacentral:rRNA from 1 species